AAUUAUUAUAUUGUUGUUAAUUAUUAGUGUUAGUAUUAUUAUUGAAAUAACUUUUUAUUAGUAAGUUUUACUGAAAUUAUUAAUUUUAACUAUAGUUUAUUUUACUGUAAAGGGGCUAUUAAAAUUUAUUUUAAGUAGAUUUUUUUUAUUUUACCUUUUGUAUCAGGGUUUAUUAAUUUUUAUUAUUUAUUUUAAUUUUCCCGAAAUUAGGAGAGAUAUAUUUUAAUGUAAUUUUACGUUUCAAAGUAAUUUAAAAUUUGAAUAUAGAGGUUAUAUGCUAUUCAAUCUUAAAUAUCUGGUUUUCUAAUAAAUUAAUUUAAUUAAGGUAAUUAGUUAUUAGGUUAAUUUAUAAUUUAAUUUUAUUUAAUACUAAUUUCUAAAUUUGUAGGGGAUGAGCUCUUCAAAUUUACUAUAACCAAGUAUUAGGGUUAAGUUUUUGUAGGCCUGAUAACAGCCAUCACUUAUUUCGUUUUAGUAAAUUCUUAAUUUUUAUUUAUUUAUUGUUUGGUUUAUUUUAUUAUUAGGAUUUUUUAUUUAAUUGUCUAUUAUAAGUAAUAAUGAUAAAAUUAGUAGUUUUGUAUAUUUAAAUAUAGGAACUCGGCAAAUUUAAUUCUCGCCUGUUUAACAAAAACAUGUCCUUUAGAUUAGUAGUUAAAGGUCUGACCUGCCCAGUGACUAGUUAAACGGCCGCAGUAUCCUAACUGUGCAAAGGUAGCAUAAUCAUUUGUCUUUUUAUUGAAGGCUGGAAUGAAUGGUUGGACGAGGGAUUUACUUUCUUUACUUAAAUUCACUGAAUUUAAUUUUUGAGUUAAAAAGCUUAAAUUUUUUUGUAAGACGAGAAGACCCUAUAGAAUUUUACUUUUAUAAUUUCAUUAUUUAUUUUGUUGUUAUUUAGAGAAUUAUUUUUAUAAAAGUUUUGUUGGGGCGAUAAUGAAAAUUAAUUAACUUUCAUUUAUUUUAUUUUCAUAUAUUAAUGUAUCUUUUGAUCCUAAUUUUUAGAUUAUAAGUUUAAAUUACCUUAGGGAUAACAGCGUAAUUUUUUCGGAGAGUUCAUAUCGAUGAAUAAAGUUUGCGACCUCGAUGUUGGAUUAAAAUUAGUUUUAGGUGUAGAAGCUUAUGGGACUAAGUCUGUUCGACUUUUUAAUUUUUACAUGAUCUGAGUUCAGACCGGCGUAAGCCAGGUUGGUUUCUAUCUACAAUUUGUUUAUUAUACUUUAGUACGAAAGGACCAAGUAUAAGUAAAAUUUAUAUUUAUGUUGAUUU
rnacentral:rRNA from 1 species